GACGAACGCUGGCGGCGUGCUUAACACAUGCAAGUCGAACGGAAAGGCUCCAGCUUGCUGGAGUACUCGAGUGGCGAACGGGUGAGUAACACGUGGGUAAUCUGCCCUGCACUCUGGGAUAAGCCUGGGAAACUGGGUCUAAUACUGGAUAUGACCUUUCUCCUUAUGGGGUUUGGUGGAAAGUUUUUCGGUGUAGGAUGAGCCCGCGGCCUAUCAGCUUGUUGGUGGGGUGAUGGCCUACCAAGGCGACGACGGGUAGCCGGCCUGAGAGGGUGAUCGGCCACAUUGGGACUGAGAUACGGCCCAGACUCCUACGGGAGGCAGCAGUGGGGAAUAUUGCACAAUGGGCGGAAGCCUGAUGCAGCGACGCCGCGUGAGGGAUGACGGCCUUCGGAUUGUAAACCUCUUUCAGCAGGGACGAAGCGUAAGUGACGGUACCUGCAGAAGAAGCACCGGCUAACUAUGUG
rnacentral:rRNA from 1 species